GACGAACGCUGGCGGCGUGCUUAACACAUGCAAGUCGAACGGAAAGGCCCUGCUUUUGUGGGGUGCUCGAGUGGCGAACGGGUGAGUAACACGUGAGUAACCUGCCCUUGACUUUGGGAUAACUUCAGGAAACUGGGGCUAAUACCGGAUAGGAUCUCCUGCUGCAGGGUGGGGGUUGGAAAGUUUCGGCGGUUGGGGAUGGACUCGCGGCUUAUGAGCUUGUUGGUGGGGUAGUGGCUUACCAAGGCUUUGACGGGUAGCCGGCCUGAGAGGGUGAACGGCCACAAUGGGACUGAGAGACGGACCAGACUCCUACGGGAGGCAGCAGUCGGGAAUAUUGCACAAUGGGCGGAAGCCUGAUGCAGCAGCGCCGCGUGCGGGAAGCCGGCCUUCGGGUUGUAAACCGCUUUCGCCUGUGACGAAGCGUGAGUGACGGUAAUGGGUAAAGAAGCACCGGCUAACUACGUG
rnacentral:rRNA from 1 species